AAUUUUCUAGUAUAAUAAGUAUAGUUGUUUUAAGCGCAGCUGGUUGUGAAAAUUA
rnacentral:tRNA from 1 species